UACGAAGGGGGCUAGCGUUGCUCGGAAUCACUGGGCGUAAAGCGCACGUAGGCGGAUUGUUAAGUCAGGGGUGAAAUCUUGGAGCUCAACUCCAGAACUGCCUUUGAUACUGGCGAUCUCGAGUCCGGGAGAGGUGAGUGGAACUGCGAGUGUAGAGGUGAAAUUCGUAGAUAUUCGCAAGAACACCAGUGGCGAAGGCGGCUCACUGGCCCGGUACUGACGCUGAGGUGCGAAAGCGUGGGGAGCAAACAGG
rnacentral:rRNA from 1 species